UACGAAGGGGGCGAGCGUUGUUCGGAUUUACUGGGCGUAAAGGGCGCGCAGGCGGCUCAUUUUGUCAGGCGUGAAAGCCCCGGGCUUAACCUGGGAACGGCGCUUGGGACGGGUGGGCUAGAGUGCGGCAGAGGGGGGUGGAAUUCCACGUGUAGCAGUGAAAUGCGUAGAUAUGUGGAGGAACACCGAUGGCGAAGGCAGCCCCCUGGGCUAGCACUGACGCUCAUGCACAAAAGCGUGGGGAGCAAACAGG
rnacentral:rRNA from 1 species